GUAGGUGGCAAGCGUUGUCCGGGAAUUAUUGGGGCGUAAAGCGCGCGCAGGCGGUUCCUUAAGUCUGAUGUGAAAGCCCACGGGCUCAACCGUGGAGGGUCAUUGGAAACUGGAGAACUUGAGUACAGAAGAGGAAAGCGGAAUUCCACGUGUAGCGGUGAAAUGCGUAGAGAUGUGGAGGAACACCAGUGGCGAAGGCGGCUUUCUGGUCUGUAACUGACGCUGAGGCGCGAAAGCGUGGGGAGCAAACAGGAUUAGAUACCCUGGUAGUCCACGCCGUAAACGAUGAGUGCUAAGUGUUAGGGGGUUUCCGCCCCUUAGUGCUGCAGCUAACGCAUUAAGCACUCCGCCUGGGGAGUACGGCCGCAAAGGCUG
rnacentral:rRNA from 1 species